GCGAGUGAACCGGGAAAAGCUCAAAUUUGAAAUCUGCCAACAGGCCGAGUUGUAAUUUGUAGAUGGCUACASUGCAUAAUAGUAGAUGCUCAAGUUCUUUGGAAAAAGACAUCAUGGAGGGUGACAAUCCCSUGAGGCAUGUUWCUAGGAGCAUAUAGUGGGCUUUYUAAGAGUCGAGUUGUUUGGGAAUGCAGCUCAAAGUGCGUGGUGAAUWCCAUGUAAAGCUAAAUAUGGACGAGAGACCGAUAGCGAACAAGUACUGUGAAGGAAAGAUGAAAAGCACUCCGAAAGGAGAGUGAAAUAGUACGUGAAAUUGUUAAAGUGGAAGGGCUUGAGAUCAGAAUUGGKAGUUUGGGUUCCACGUCCUCUUGGGGGCGUGUACUCCCUUUCCACCGGGCCAGCGGGAGUUUCGUCUCUUGGGUAAAAGCAGUGGAAUGUAGCAGCUUGUCUGUAUUAUAGCCUCUGUUCAUACAAGACG
rnacentral:rRNA from 1 species